UGGUCCUCCUGUUUACUUCCAUGCUGAUCCCUGUUCCUUGUCAUUUUUUUGAACCUUUGGAAACUCGUAGACGGGCCUGAAGAUAUCACAAGAAGUCUGCCAACUAACUUUUAUGUUUAUUUAGGACUGACAUUUGUAUUCUUCAAUGCAACGAGCAGAGAUUCAGAAAUUCAGAGCUCCCACAGCGCAGCUGGUAGCUUACGAUUAAAAAUGAGUCUG